GUGGGGAAUAUUGCACAAUGGGCGCAAGCCUGAUGCAGCAACGCCGCGUGAGGGACGACGGCCUUCGGGUUGUAAACCUCUUUUAGCAGGGAAGAAGCGAAAGUGACGGUACCUACAGAAAAAGCACCGGCUAACUACGUGCCAGCAGCCGCGGUAAUACGUAGGGUGCAAGCGUUGUCCGGAAUUAUUGGGCGUAAAGAGCUCGUAGGCGGUUUGUCGCGUCUGCUGUGAAAACCCGAGGCGCAACCUCGGGCCUGCAGUGGGUACGGGCAGACUAGAGUGCGGUAGGGGAGAUUGGAAUUCCUGGUGUAGCGGUGGAAUGCGCAGAUAUCAGGAGGAACACCGAUGGCGAAGGCAGAUCUCUGGGCCGUAACUGACGCUGAGGAGCGAAAGCGUGGGGAGCGAACAGGAUUAGAAACCCCUGUAGUCC
rnacentral:rRNA from 1 species